UAGCGUAGGGUGCAAGCGUUGUCUGGAAUUAUUGGGCGUAAAGAGCUCGUAGGCGGUCUGUCGCGACGGCUGUGAAAACCUGGGGCUCAACCCAGCCUGCAGUCGAUACGGGCAGACUAGAGUCCGGCAGGGGAGACUGGAAUUCCUGGUGUAGCGGUGAAAUGCGCAGAUAUCAGGAGGAACACCGGUGGCGAAGGCGGGUCUCUGGGCCGGAACUGACGCUGAGGAGCGAAAGCGUGGGGAGCGAACAGG
rnacentral:rRNA from 1 species